AUAAGAUUAAUAAUUAUUAUUUUUCUAAUAUUCUAUUUGUAAUUAGAUGUACUUAAUAUCGGCUUUAAAAACAUUUUAAAGACAAAUUUAUUUAAACUUUACAGAAAAUGUGUAUGUUAAAUUCUUUGAUUCGUUUAUUUUGUAAAUAUAAAAAACAAUAUAUUGAAUUAAAAUGUGAUGUGGAUUCCUGUUGAACACAAAUGUGAUUUUAUGGGUAAAUGCAGCUCAUCUUUGUGUUCACGGUUCAUUAAUUUUACAUGUAGUGAACAGGAAGUGAAAGAGACAGAUGACAAAGGUUUUAACUGUAUUUAACUGUCAGUUUAAACAGAAGAAAAUCAUCUCAGGGACGAGUUAUUCACUGUCACACGUUAUGAAACACAUACGAAGAUGUCAUCAAUAAUCUUCAUCGAUGAACCUUUUUAGUUGCAUUCACACUUGAAUCAUGAGGCUGAUGGUGAGAUACUGAGUGAUUUAUGAGUGCAGCAGCAGCAGCUCAAGUUAUUCUGUUUUAUUUGAUCAAAUAUAAUAAAUGAGCAGGAUGUGAUGUUUCUUUAUUACCAAGCCUUCACUCUCAUUGCUUUGUCUUUUCUCCCCCCCUCUCCUCCCCCUCUCUCUCCUCCAGUGGGUGUGGAGCAGCCCACCCUGACCGUCCUCCCCCCCUCCAGAGAGGAGCUGAAGCAGGGCAGUGCCACACUGGUGUGUCUGGCCAGCGGGGGCUUCCCCUCAGCCUGGACGCUGGGCUGGAAGGUGGGGUGCAGCAGCAGCUCCUCAGGGGCGUCACACAGCCUGGAGGUCCUGGGGAGGGACGGCCACUACAGCUGGAGCAGCACCUUGAGCCUCCCUGCAGACCAGUGGAGGAAUGCGGGCUCAGUGAGCUGUGAGGCCAGUCUGAGUGGACAGAGGCCUGUCACUCAAAGCCUGGAGCCUGACCGCUGCUCAGAGUAGAGUUUCAGCAACACUUCCUGUCUGCAAAUGAUGCCGCUUCUUUGACAGAGAUCUGGAUGAAGCUCCAGAUCUCCUCUGUUCACAUGUUUCUGCAUGUUUCACAGCUCUCUACUCAGUGUUUUACUCUGCAUGUUGCUUUCUAAUACUCAUCUUCUGCAUGUUCUUCUUUAUGCUCAUUAAAUGAUUUUCACUCAAAGAGAAACUAUUCAUUCAUCAGAAAUGUGGCAUGAACAUUAAACCAUCAUUAAAUAAAACUGUGGAUUAUAAUAAA